rnacentral:rRNA from 1 species
UACGUAGGGGGCGAGCGUUGUCCGGAUUUACUGGGCGUAAAGGGCAUGCAGGCGGUCGGACGCGUUUCGGGUGACAGCGGGUGGCUUAACUACCCGAGUGGUCGAAAGACGGUUUGACUUGAGGACGCGAGAGGGACACGGAAUUCCGGGCGGAGUGGUGAAAUGCGUAGAGAUCCGGAGGAACACCGAAGGCGAAGGCAGUGUCCUGGCGCGUAACUGACGCUGAGGUGCGAAAGCCAGGGGAGCGAACGGG